rnacentral:rRNA from 2 species
AUACAUGCAAGUCGAACGAACUCUGGUAUUGAUUGGUGCUUGCAUCAUGAUUUACAUUUGAGUGAGUGGCGAACUGGUGAGUAACACGUGGGAAACCUGCCCAGAAGCGGGGGAUAACACCUGGAAACAGAUGCUAAUACCGCAUAACAACUUGGACCGCAUGGUCCGAGCUUGAAAGAUGGCUUCGGCUAUCACUUUUGGAUGGUCCCGCGGCGUAUUAGCUAGAUGGUGGGGUAAUGGCUCACCAUGGCAAUGAUACGUAGCCGACCUGAGAGGGUAAUCGGCCACAUUGGGACUGAGACACGGCCCAAACUCCUACGGGAGGCAGCAGUAGGGAAUCUUCCACAAUGGACGAAAGUCUGAUGGAGCAACGCCGCGUGAGUGAAGAAGGGUUUCGGCUCGUAAAACUCUGUUGUUAAAGAAGAACAUAUCUGAGAGUAACUGUUCAGGUAUUGUCGGUAUUUAACCAGAAAGCCACGGCUCAGUACGUGCCAGCAGCCGCGGUAAUACGUAGGUGGCAAGCGUUGUCCGGAUUUAUUGGGCGUAAAGCGAGCGCAGGCGGUUUUCUAAGUCUGAUGUGAAAGCCUUCGGCUCAACCGAAGAAGUGCAUCGGAAACUGGGAAACUUGAGUGCAGAAGAGGACAGUGGAACUCCAUGCGUAGCGGUGAAAUGCGUAGAUAUAUGGAAGAACACCAGUGGCGAAGGCGGCUGUCUGGUCUGUAACUGACGCUGAGGCUCGAAAGUAUGGGUAGCAAACAGGAUUAGAUACCCUGGUAGUCCAUCCCGUAAACGAUGAAUGCUAAGUGUGGAGGGAUUCCGCCCUUCAGUGCUGCAGCUCACGC